UGCCUCAGUAACUGCGAGUGAAGCGGCAAAAGCUCAAAUUUGGAAUCUGGCGUCGUUCGACGUCCGAGUUGUAAUUUGGAGGGGCAUCUUCGGGGCCGACGCCGUCCCAAGUUCCUUGGAACAGGACGCCACAGAGGGUGAGAAUCCCGUGUAUGGACGGCCGAUAUCGGUCCCACGUGAAGUGCCUCCGACGAGUCGAGUUGUUUGGGAAUGCAGCUCAAAAUUGGUGGUAAAUUUCAUCUAAAGCUAAAUAUUGGCGAGAGACCGAUAGCGCACAAGUAGAGUGAUCGAAAGAUGAAAAGCACUUUGAAAAGAGAGUUAAAAAGUACGUGAAAUUGUUGAAAGGGAAGCGUUUGAGGCCAGACUCGACCGGUGGCGAUCAGCUGUGCUUCUGCACUGUGCAAUGGCCUCCGGCCGGGCCAGCAUCGGUUCCAGCGGCGGGAUAAAAGGCGUAGGGAAUGUACCUGUCGACACACCGCACAGGGUUAUAGCCCGCGCCACAAUGCCGUCUGCGGGGACCGAGGACCGCGCCCUAUGGGCAAGGAUGCUGGCGUAAUGGCCUUAAGCGACCCGUCUUGAAACACGGACCAAGGAGUCUAACAUCCAUGCGAGUGUUCGGGUGGAAAACCCUUGCGCGAAAUGAAAGUGAAUGCAGGUGGGAACCCCCUCGGGGCGCACCAUCGACCGAUCCGGAAGUCUUCGGACGGAUUUGAGUAGGAGCAUGGCUGUUGGGACCCGAAAGAUGGUGAACUAUGCCUGAAUAGGGUGAAGCCAGGGGAAACUCUGGUGGAGGCUCGCAGCGGUUCUGACGUGCAAAUCGAUCGUCAAAUUUGGGUAUAGGGGCGAAAGACUAAUCGAACCAUCUAGUAGCUGGUUCCUG
rnacentral:rRNA from 1 species